GCUAAGUCUGCCACGUAAAUCAUGCAGCCCUAUUUUGCAGAUGUCAACAUUGUCGAUUUUAAUUGUGCCUUCCCGUGGUUCAACGAUCCGGAAAAGGGCUUGGAUAAAAGUUGACUUUCCACUGCCAGAAGGCUGACUAGCAGAAUCAAACAAACCGCAAAGACAAGAGUGGAUAGCAUGGCUAGCCUGAGAGAAAGCCACUCCAUGGAAGCGAAGUUAUAGAACCAUGGUCUGAAGUGACUGUCAAAAAGACCAAGGAUUGGAGCCCUUUGAAUUUUAUUCAAACGAGCCAGCUCUCUUGCUGCUGGUAUUUGGUAGCGCUGCACAUUAUACAAAGUAUAUGGAUUCAGAAAACUGGUAUUUAAGCUUCCUUUAAUUUAUUGAUUGCAAUAGUAACCAUAUGCAUAAUGGUAAAGAGAACACCAAAGUUGUAAGCAAGAUCUGAAGUUCUUGCCUAAGAGUUCGUACUUGAUAAAG